rnacentral:tRNA from 1 species
GAGGAUUAUUAUCCUGUCGCUGCUAACGAUGGGUUGAACAGUUGAUUGUUCGAUUCUCU